GACGAACGCUGGCGGCGUGGAUUAGGCAUGCAAGUCGAACGGUAUCAUCCUUUCGGGGAUGAGAGAGUGGCGAACGGGUGAGUAACACGUAGGUGAUCUACCCUCAAGACGGGGACAACCCAGGGAAACUUGGGCUAAUACCGGAUGUGAGCUAUCGCGAGAUAGUUUGAAAGGUGGCUUCGGCUGCCGCUUGAGGAUGAGCCUGCGUCCUAUUAGCUAGUUGGUGAGGUAACGGCUCACCGAGGCGAUGAUAGGUAGGCGGCCUUAACGGGUGGUCGCCCACACUGGGAUUGAGAUACGGCCCAGACUCCUACGGGAGGCAGCAGUCGAGAAUAGUCUACAAUGGUCGAAAGACUGAUAGUGCGACGCCGCGUGAACGAAGAAGCCCUUCGGGGUGUAAAGUUCUUUUAUAUGUGAGCAGUGACAUCUAUAUUAAUAGUAUGGGUGUAGAGAUAUUAGCAUAUGAAUAAGCAACGGCUAACUCCGUG
rnacentral:rRNA from 1 species